rnacentral:rRNA from 1 species
UGCCAGCAGCCGCGGUAACACGAACCGUACGAACGUUAUUCGGAAUCACUGGGCUUAAAGAGUGCGUAGGCGGCCUUACAGGUGGGGUGUGAAAUCCCCCGGCUCAACCGGGGAACUGCGCCCCAAACCGUAAGGCUUGAGGGAGAUAGAGGUGAGCGGAACUGAUGGUGGAGCGGUGAAAUGCGUUGAUAUCAUCAGGAACACCAGCGGCGAAGGCGGCUCACUGGGCCGAUAUUGACGCUGAGGCGCGAAGGCGUGGGUAGCGAACGGGAUUAGAUA